UUCAAAGAGUGGAGGAAUGGGUGGCAUUGGGAGACGAAAGAGAAGAUGGCUGAGCGAAGCCGAGAGCGAGAUAGGCGGGGCGCGUCGCACGCUGCACAGCCGCGUCGCACGCGACCCGGCUGUGUUGGAGUGUGCGACUCGGCUGUCGUCGGGGCAAUGCGCGCGCACUCAAAUGCAAACAGGCGCGUGCCCGCGUAUUUCAAAAUGUUUUGGGGUGUUGGUGGGAGCGAGAAGAAGGAGAAAAAAAAGAAAAAGUGAAGGGCGUUGGAAGAAACUGCGAG
ensembl:ncRNA T26A5.10 ncRNA